GCACGCGUUGUCUAAUGGCUAUGACGUCAGACUUCUACUCUCGCUUUGAAAAUUGAGUAUCUGGAGGUUGCGGGUUCGAGUUCCGCCGUGGGUU